AGUCGAACGGUAGAAUGUCUCGGACUUUGAGAGUGGCGAACGGGUGAGUACACGUAGGUAAUCUGUCUUAGGGGUUGGGGAUAGCCCAUGGAAACAUGGGGUAAUACCGAAUAGCUCCCUUUCAGCACAAGCGGGAAGGGGGAAAGGCGCUUAGGCGCCGNCUUAGGGUGAGCCUGCGGUCCAUUAGUUAGUCGGUGGGGUAAGAGCCUACCAAGGCAGCGAUGGAUAACCGGCCUGAGAGGGUGAACGGNCACACUGGGACUGAGACACGGCCCAGACUCCUACGGGAGGCAGCAGCUAAGAAUCUUCCGCAAUGGGCGAAAGCCUGACGGAGCGAUGCCGCGUGAGUGAAGAAGGCGGGAACGUUGUAAAACUCUUUUCUCGGGGAGGAAUAAGGAGGGGAGGAAAUGCCCCUUUGAUGACGCGAACCGAGGAAUAAGCCCCGGCUAAUUACGUGCCAGCAGCCGCGGUAACACGUAAGGGGCGAGCGUUGUUCGGAAUUAUUGGGCGUAAAGAGCGUGUAGGCGGCGAUGUAAGCCUGGUGUGACAGACUUCAGCUUAACUGGAGAGCCGCGCUGGGAACUAUGUUGCUUGAGUAUAGGAGGGGGAGCUGGAAUUCCAGGUGUAGGGGUGACAUCUGUAGAUAUCUGGACGCACCCCGGCGGCGAAGGCGAGCUCCUGGGCAUAUACUGACGCUGAGGCGCGAAAG
rnacentral:rRNA from 1 species